CAGCUCUUACAGCACAUAUACUAAAAUUUGAACAAUACAGAGAAGAUCAGCAUGGCCCUUGCAGAAGGAUGACAUGCAAAUUCG
rnacentral:snRNA from 1 species